GAUGAAGAACGCAGCGAAAUGCGAUACUUGGUGUGAAUUGCAGAAUCCCGUGAACCAUCGAGUCUUUGAACGCAAGUUGCGCCCGAAGCCACUAGGCCGAGGGCACGCCUGCCUGGGCGUCACACGCCGUUGCCCCCCCAUCUACUCCUUCGGGAUUGCGGGGGGGCGGAUGAUGGCCUCCCGUGCGCCUAGCCGCGCGGUUGGCAUAAAUACCAAGUCCUCGGCGACGCACGCCACGACAAUCGGUUGUUGCGAAACCUCGGUUGCCCGUCGUGUGCGUUCGUCGCGCAUCGAGGGCUCGAAAAAAUGCUCGGCUCCGGCUGGGCUUUCAACGCGACCCCAGGUCAGGCGGGGUUACCCGCUGAAUUUAAGCAUAUCAAUAAGCGGAGGA
rnacentral:misc_RNA from 1 species